rnacentral:rRNA from 1 species
UACGUAGGGUGCGAGCGUUAUCCGGAAUUACUGGGCGUAAAGAGCUCGUAGGUGGUUUGUCGCGUUGUUCGUGAAAACCUGGGGCUUAACCUUGGGCGUGCGGGCGAUACGGGCAGACUGGAGUACUGCAGGGGAGACUGGAAUUCCUGGUGUAGCGGUGGAAUGCGCAGAUAUCAGGAGGAACACCGGUGGCGAAGGCGGGUCUCUGGGCAGUAACUGACGCUGAGGAGCGAAAGCGUGGGGAGCGAACAGG